CGAGGCUCAAGAAACGUCAUGAGUCAAUCUGUCCAACUAGACGCCCAUUCCAUCGACACGCCCCGAUCUGCAGUUGCCGAACCCUUAUCCCUGGACACGUUAUCCUCUUCGCUUUCGGAAGAAACAUCUGAUAUGAGUUCAUCCAACGCUUUGGCGGCGUCUGCAGCAGCAGCAGCUAGCAGUGAAAAAACGACCUCCAACCGUGUCGUCGUCCCGAGAACUACCUCCACUCUUACUUCUAGUACAGCUACAACAGCAGCAGCAGGUGGUUCAAACGUGCAUCUUCCAUCAGCAGGCCACCAACAACACCGGACGGCCGUCAACCGCAGCAACACUUCCGGCGGUGAAGGAGGUCUGGUCAUGGUGGCUACUUCGCUGGCUACUUCUUCAUCUACUGCUUCGUCCAGCCGAGCUAACAGCGCCGAACCCUUCAGCAAUGGCGGUGGAGGAGGAGGAGGAGGAAGCGGGAGUAGCAGUGGUGGUGCGGCGCGGUCAGCCGGAGGAGGAAGCCGGGCAACUCGGACGAAUACGACAGCUCAAACUUCUCAAGGGGCCAUCUAUCGAGCACCGAUGGCUGGUGGCGGAGGAAGUGGUAGUGGCGGAGUAGGAGGCAGUGGAGGAUCUUCUCGGAUUGCAUCCCACGUUUCACCGCAUCAUCUGGCCUCCUAUCAAGCGUCAACCACUGGCUCCUCCCCUUACGGAGCUGGCGUAGGAGGUUCGAAUAACAGCAGCAACAGUAGCAGUAGCACGGGAACUGGAAGUCAAGGCUACAGCAGCUCGACGAGCGGAGUCGGUGUAGGAGGAAGCGGAAAUGGGGGAGGCGGUGCCAAUUCUAACCCGGCGACGGCGACUACGACGACCACGACGACCGGCGGCAGUACCAACAACAGCGAUCAGCUGUCCAGGACCAACCUCUACAUUCGCGGACUGACGCCCAACACCACCGACAAGGAUCUAGAGGAAUUGUGCCGCAAAUUCGGUACCAUCAUUUCGACCAAAGCCAUUCUCGAUAAGAAUACCAACAAGUGCAAAGGCUACGGUUUCGUUGAUUUCGAUUCGCCAUCGGCAGCCGAAUCGGCCGUCAAAGCCCUGCAGCUUCAAGGCAUUCAAGCGCAGAUGGCGAAGGUAAUCGUCAAACAACAAGAACAAGAUCCCACUAAUUUGUACCUGGCCAACUUGCCGCCGCACAUCACCGAACAGGACCUUCACGAUAUGCUUUACAAAUAUGGGACGGUCAUCUCGACCCGAGUGCUGCGCGACGGUGGCAGCCAGAGCCGCGGUGUGGGUUUUGCGCGGAUGGAAUCCAGAGAGAAAUGCGAUGAAAUUAUUAGCAUAUUCAACGGCAAAUCGCUGGCGGGGUCGACCCAGCCGUUGCUGGUGAAAUUCGCCGAUGGCGGCAACAAGAACAAGCGCCAGCACAAGACUCACGAUCAGCGCUGGCGUGACGCGGCCGAUGGGCCGGGCGGCCUCCUCUCGGCUUACGAUAGCCCCGUCCAUCCCAAUGGAAUGCCAACCCUGCUCUCUCACAUGCCGCUCGGACGUAAUUUCCCACACCAAAUGUCGCCUUUCCCCAUCGGGCCCAAUGGCGCCCCAUGGCUAGGACAAUACAUUGUCCAGCCGCCUAUGCAUCAACAGAUGGAAAUGUUGACGUCCGGUAUGGAUCCUUCGAUGCAGUACAUCCCGCAAUUGACGACUCACCUGUCGUCGUUGCACGUUAGUAGCCCUGGCAAUCCUUAUGCGAUGGGCCCUGGCGGUCAUGGCGGUCAUGGUCAUCAUCACCAUCACCAUCAUCAUCAUAGCGCUUAUCAAGCAGCGGCACUUUACCAGGCCAGCCAAUCGCAGGCGGCCGUCAUGGGUCCCAACUCACUCUCUAUGGCUCCCGAAUCUGAUCCCUCUGCUAGCGCCACCGCCUCUCCCGACGAGCCCUUCUCCUACGGAGCCAUGUGAGGGGAAAAAAAAAAAAAAAUGGAUUUUUAUUUUUGGACAGAAAAAAAAAAAAAAAUACCAAAGGGAAUUAACAAGAAAUUUGUAGAUGUCUGGCAGCAGCGGCGCUCUCUCUCUCUCUCUUUCUUUGACAGUGUGUGAGCAGCAAAAAAAGAAGCAGCGUCGAUUUAUAACACGACAUUCCACACAGACACACACAGACACACACACAAAAAUGUGCUUUCCCCUUCUUGAUGCGUUGCGUAAUCGUCCUUGACACCUCUCCGUUUCGUGUAAAUAAGGCUAACGAUGCAAACCUUUUUUUUUUUUUUUUUUUCGUUCACGGGGAAAACAAUUUUUCCAUCUUCGUCGUUUGUUUUGUUUUUGGAACCGGUAGAAUUUUUCUAAUCAUCAUCGCUAACCUUCUAUUUCGUAGAGGUACCUGUUUCUUUUUUCCUCCGCUCGUUCUCCUCCUUUCUCUAUUAAAAAAAACAAAAGCAAAAACAAAAAUGGCUAAGGAAAUAAUUCCUGAAUAAGAAAAUAAAAAUAUAUCGGGAAAUGGGGGGAAAAAAAACAACAGCAAACAAUUCGUCGUGCAGAAGACAAAAAUUUCAUUGACAUGUUCAGAGUCAGAAUAUUAGACAACAAAUGGGAAAAUAACAAAAAACAAGAGAGAAAAGCGUCUGCCAGCCAAUGAUGUGCCUUUUUCAAUCCCACCCCCAUACCUUCCUCACACACACACACACAAUCCCGAUGAUCAAAUCGCAAAAAGGGGGAGAAUUUUUUUUUUUUUUUUUUUAUUUUUAACAAUCCGGUUUUCUUUUUCUCUAAUUAAUAGUUUACGAAAAUCAUUUUCCACUUUUUGUCCUUAAAAUUCGUUUAAAAUGUUUGUGCUUGUUUGUUUGUUUGUUUUUUUGCCCCCAACUUGAUAAUUGAUUGUUCAAUUCCUGUUGAACCCGUCGAUUUUGUUUGUAGAUUUUUGGCGUACUGCUGGAACCAAAAAAAGGGGGGGAGGGGUCAAAAUGAGAAUAAGAUUUUUUUUUUCACGAAACCCUUAAAACAAAAAAAAAUCAAACAAAAAAAUGACAAUGAUUUUGAAUUUCUAAUUAUGUUGUUGUGGGAAGUUAAUCCUCCAGUUGCUAAAAAAAAAAAAUGUGGGGGACAUAAAACAGCAAAAUUACCAAAAAUAUUAAAAAGGAAAAAAAAGAAAAAAAAAAACUGAAAAAGUGUUGAUAAAUUGAAAGAUUUUUCUUUUUUUUAUGAUGGGAAAAUUUCCAUUUUGAAUCCCCCCCGUUCUUUGCCUCCGUUUGUUCAAUUUCCACAGCAGAAAUGGAAACAAAACUCUGUUCUCGCUCGCGUUCUUAGUUUUUGUUUUUUGUUUUUCUCGCCUCAAAUUUUAAUUCGAUUUUUUUUUUCGGGGGUAAUUCCGUUAAAAUUGAAGGGGGGAGGGAACUUGUUUUUUUUUGUUUUUGUGUCCAUGAUUUAAGAAGGAAAAAAAAAAAGGCGAAUGUGUCGACGUACAGUUUAAUUUUCAAUGUUUUUAUGCGGUGAUUUGAAAGGGAUUGCCAUUCGUCGUUCGACGAUGAAUAAAUAAGGAUCGAAGGAAUCGGAGCAAAAAGUACAAAAGAAAAAAAGAAGAUUAGAGAGGGUAAACAUACACACACCAACGUAACACUCCCAACCCCCUCCCCCAAUUUUUAACCCGACAAAGGUGGCGUCAUCAUUUCAUUCAAAAAGGAAAUUUUUUUUUCUCUCCAAACUACCCCGCUCCUUUUCUUUUUUUUUUUUUCGUGGGUUCAACACACACUGCCGUUAUUCAUUUGUUUCUAUUGCGUUAUUUUCAUUUUCCUGAAAUAGCCAUUAUUUCCAAACGAUCUUUUUUUUUAAAAAAAAAAAAAAACUAUUUAAAGAUGAUGGUUAUAUAAUGAAAACAAUUUUUUUUUUCCUUCUCACUUCCUCCUACGUCACUUCCGCCACCUCUACACACACCUGUCCUGUUCUAUUUUGAAAAAAAAAAAAAAACACGAAACAACAACAGAAAAAUGUGUUUCAUGCAAAUGGGGAAAAUCAGUAAUUUUUUUUUUGUUCUUUUUAAAUUUUCAUCUGGUAAAGUGCGUGAGCGCUGUAUGCAAUUUUAAAUUGUGUCGCCUCCAAAUGUUUACUUCGUUUCAUUUCCCUUUUGUUUUUUUCUUCUAAAUUAAGUUUGUCGUUAUGAAAGAAUGUUUGCACCACCUCGCUCCCUCCCUUCUGUUUGCUUUCUUGAUUGUUGUUGCUAAUUGUUAAAUUCGUUCAUUCAUUUUUCUUUUCUUUUUUUUUUUUUUACCUGGCAAGAAAAUAGCGAUCAAAUUUCGCGCGGUUUUGUUAUUUGUUUUGAAAAAAGGAGAAGGAAAAAAAAAAAAAAUGGGGAAUUUAAAAAAAAAAAUCGUGAAAUUGUUUGUUAAAUUGUUUUUUUUUUUUUUUUAAUUUUGUUUCGUGAUUGGUCUCCGUGAUGAGAUCCUUCGGAAUGAAAGAGAAAAAGAUAAUUUUUGGUGGGUUUUAAAAAAAAAUGUUCUCGCCUUUACGCGGGGCGAGAGGAAAGAUGAGGAAAAACAGUUUUGAUUUUGAUUUCACACGUGUUGUUGUUAUUGUUGUUUUAUUGUCCUCGAGAAACACCACGCUGCUGCCCCUGGGCAAGAAAUUCAGAGUUUAAAAAAAAAAAAAUAGAAAUUAACAAAGUGCGAUCAGAAAAAAAAAAAAGUUAAUCUUGUGCGUGUAUGCGUGUGCUCCCCCCCUCCCACCACACCCUCCCGAUAAACGAACGCGUUUGUUAAAAAAAAAAAAAACAAUUGUUGAAUUUUUGUCUUUCCCACUCUCUUUGUUCACCUUCAUUUCAUGUGUUUUUUUUUUUUGUCGAUUGGGAUAUGGAUAAUUGAGAUGGUUCGAAAAUUA
rnacentral:misc_RNA from 1 species